UAGACCUACGGGACGCAGCAGUGGGGAAUGUUGCACAAUGGGGGAAACCCUGAUGCAGCGACGCCGCGUGAGUGAAGAAGUAAUUCGUUACGUAAAGCUCUAUCAGCAGGGAAGAAGAUGACGGUACCUGACUAAGAAGCCCCGGCUAACUACGUGCCAGCAGCCGCGGUAAUACGUAGGGGGCAAGCGUUAUCCGGAUUUACUGGGUGUAAAGGGAGCGUAGACGGCAGGGCAAGUCUGGAGUGAAAGCCCGGGGCCCAACCCCGGGACUGCUUUGGAAACUGCCAUGCUAGAGUGCUGGAGAG
rnacentral:rRNA from 1 species